UUAGAGGAAGUAAAAGUCGUAACAAGGUCUCCGUUGGUGAACCAGCGGAGGGAUCAUUACUGAGUUUACGCUCUAUAACCCUUUGUGAACAUACCUAUAACUGUUGCUUCGGCGGGUAGGGUCUCCGUGACCCUCCCGGCCUCCCGCCCCCGGGCGGGUCGGCGCCCGCCGGAGGAUAACCAAACUCUGAUUUAACGACGUUUCUUCUGAGUGGUACAAGCAAAUAAUCAAAACUUUUAACAACGGAUCUCUUGGUUCUGGCAUCGAUGAAGAACGCAGCGAAAUGCGAUAAGUAAUGUGAAUUGCAGAAUUCAGUGAAUCAUCGAAUCUUUGAACGCACAUUGCGCCCGCCAGCAUUCUGGCGGGCAUGCCUGUUCGAGCGUCAUUUCAACCCUCAAGCUCUGCUUGGUGUUGGGGCCCUACAGCUGAUGUAGGCCCUCAAAGGUAGUGGCGGACCCUCCCGGAGCCUCCUUUGCGUAGUAACUUUACGUCUCGCACUGGGAUCCGGAGGGACUCUUGCCGUAAAACCCCCAAUUUUCCAAAGGUUGACCUCGGAUCAGGUAGGAAUACCCGCUGAACUUAAGCAUAUCAAU
rnacentral:rRNA from 1 species